UUUCCUACGGGAGGCAGCAGUGAGGAAUAUUGGUCAAUGGUCGGGAGACUGAACCAGCCAAGCCGCGUGAGGGAUGAAGGUACAGAGUAUCGUAAACCUCUUUUGUCAGGGAACAAAGGCGGGGACGUGUCCCCGGAUGAGUGUACCUGAAGAAAAAGCAUCGGCUAACUCCGUGCCAGCAGCCGCGGUAAUACGGAGGAUGCGAGCGUUAUCCGGAUUUAUUGGGUUUAAAGGGUGCGUAGGCGGGCUGUUAAGUCAGCGGUCAAAUGUCGGGGCUCAACCCCGGCCUGCCGUUGAAACUGGCG
rnacentral:rRNA from 1 species